GCGGACGUAGCUCAGCUGGUUAGAGCGCCGGUUUGUGGUACCGGAGGUCGCGGGUUCGAGCCCCGUCUUCCGCCCCA
rnacentral:tRNA from 2 species